rnacentral:rRNA from 1 species
UAGGGAAUCUUCCGCAAUGGGCGAAAGCUUGACGGAGCAACGCCGCGUGAGUGAUGAAGGUCUUCGGAUCGUAAAACUCUGUUAUUAGGGAAGAACAAAUGUGUAAGUAACUAUGCACGUCUUGACGUUACUUAAUCAGAAAGCCACGGCUAAUUACGUCCAAGCAGCCGCGGUAAUACGUAGGUGGCAAGCGUUAUCCGGAAUUAUUGGGCGGAAAGCGCCCGUAGGCGGUUUUUUAAGUCUGAUGUGAAAGCCCACGGCUCAACCGUUGAGGGUCAUUGGAAACUGGAAAACUUGAGUGCAGAAGAAGAAAGUGGAAUUCCAUGUGUAGCGGUGAAAUUCGCAGAGAUAUGGAGGAACACCAGUGGCGAAGACGACUUUCUGGUCUGUAACUGACGCUGAUGUGCGAAAGCGUGGGGAUCAAACAGG